GACAGAGGGUGCAGGCGUUGUUCGGAAUUACUGGGCGUAAAGGGCGCGUAGGCGGUCCGCUAAGUUCGGCGUGAAAUCCCCUGGCUCAACUGGGGAACGGCGCUGGAUACUGGUGGACUCGAGUACCGGAGAGGAGAGUGGAAUUCCUGGUGUAGCGGUGAAAUGCGUAGAUAUCAGGAGGAACACCGGUGGCGAAGGCGGCUCUCUGGACCGGUACUGACGCUGAGGCGCGAAAGCGUGGGGAGCAAACAGG
rnacentral:rRNA from 1 species